GCAUCUGCUGCCAAAUAAUGGAAGCUGUCAUCUGAAUCAAAAUCUGCCUAUGUUCCUUAGAGCAGUUAAAUUCAGAUACUAUUUCAGCGACUGUCACCCAGUAGAUGCUCAAGAAGAUUUUUACAACCAUGUUGGUAGAGCAACACAAUAAGGAGGAUGAGAAGGAGGAAGGAGAGGAGGAGGAGGAGGAGGAAGAGAUGAAAAGUCACACCUAAGUCGUCUAUGAGCGAGCGCACUUCCAGAUGACUCCAGCCUCGGCCACUGACUGCAAGCCCAUCAGAAACCCUGAGAUCCACCUAGCGGAGCCCAGACAAUCCCUACACUGUGAGAGACGAUAAUAAAAUGGUGUUGACAUUUUAAGGCACUAAUUUGCUUCAAAAUAAGUAGAUAGACUGGGCAUGGU